UACGUAGGGCGCGAGCGUUGUCCGGAAUCAUUGGGCGUAAAGAGCUCGUGGGCGGCCGGUUGCGUCUGCUGUGAAAUCCCGGGGCUUAACCCCGGGCGUGCAGUGGAUACGGGCUGGCUGGAGGCAGGCAGGGGAGAAUGGAAUUCCCGGUGUAGCGGUGAAAUGCGCAGAUAUCGGGAGGAACACCGGUGGCGAAGGCGGUUCUCUGGGCCUGUGCUGACGCUGAGGAGCGAAAGCGUGGGGAGCGAACAGG
rnacentral:rRNA from 1 species